GCCUGCGUAGCUCAGUGGUAAGAGCGUGGCACUCAUAACGCCAAGGUCGGUGGUCCGAUUCCACCCGCAGGCA
rnacentral:tRNA from 1 species